AUUGAACGCUGGCGGCAGGCCUAACACAUGCAAGUCGAACGAGUGGCGGACGGGUGAGUAAUGUCUGGGAAACUGCCUGAUGGAGGGGGAUAACUACUGGAAACGGUAGCUAAUACCGCAUACCAUCAGAUGUGCCCAUAUGGGAUUAGCUUGUUGGUGGGGUAACGGCUCACCAAGGCGACGAUCCCUAGCUAGUCUGAGAGGAUGACCAGCCACACUGGAACGGAGACACGGUCCAGACGCCUACGGGAGGAAGCAGUGGGGAACAUUGCAAAAGGGGCGAAAGCCGGAUGCAGCACGGCCGCGUGUAUGAAGAAGGCCUUCGGGUUGUAAAGUACUUUAAGCGGGGAGGCGGUACCCGAAGAAGAAGCAACGGCUAACUCCGUGCCAGCAGCCGCGGUAAUUC
rnacentral:rRNA from 1 species